rnacentral:rRNA from 1 species
UACGUAGGGGGCUAGCGUUGUCCGGAAUCAUUGGGCGUAAAGCGCGUGUAGGCGGCCCGGUAAGUCCGCUGUGAAAGUCCAGGGCUCAACCCUGGGAUGCCGGUGGAUACUGUCGGGCUCGAGUCCGGAAGAGGCGAGUGGAAUUCCUGGUGUAGCGGUGAAAUGCGCAGAUAUCAGGAGGAACACCAAUGGCGAAGGCAGCUUGCUGGGCCAUAUCUGACGCUGAGACACGAAAGCGUGGGGAGCGAACAGG